rnacentral:lncRNA from 1 species
AUGGGAGUCUUCUCUCGGGGUGUCAGGUGGGAGAACAGGAGGUCUGCAGCAGAAUCUACUAUCUAUCUAUCUACUAUCUAUCUAUCAUCUAUCUACUAUCUAUCUAUCUACUAUCUAUCUAUCAUCUAUCUAUCAUCUAUCUAUCUAUCAUCUAUCUAUCUAUCUAUCUACUAUCUAUCUAUCAUCUAUCUAUCUAUCAUCUAUCUACUAUCUAUCUAUCUAUCAUCUAUCUAUCUAUCUAUCUAUCUAUUAUCUAUCUAUUAUCUAUCUAUCUAUCAUCUAUCUAUCUAUCAUCUAUCUAUCUAUCUACUAUCUAUCUAUCUAUCAUCUAUCUACUAUCUAUCUAUCUAUCAUCUAUCUACUAUCUAUCUAUCUAUCUAUCUACUAUCUAUCUAUCUAUUAUCUAUCUAUUAUCUAUCUAUCUAUCUAUCUACUAUCUAUCUAUCUAUCUAUCAUCUAUCUAUCAUCUAUCUAUCAUCUAUCUACUAUCUAUCUAUCUAUCUACUAUCUAUCUAUCAUCUAUCUAUCUAUCAUCUAUCUAUCUAUCAUCUAUCUACUAUCUAUCUAUCAUCUAUCUACUAUCUAUCUAUCAUCUAUCUAUCUAUCAUCUAUCUAUCUAUCUAUCAUCUAUCUAUCAUCUAUCUAUCUAUCUAUUAUCUAUCUAUUAUCUAUCUAUCUACUAUCUAUCUAUCAUCUAUCUAUCUACUAUCUAUCUAUCAUCUAUCUACUAUCUAUCUAUCUACUAUCUAUCUAUCAUCUAUCUAUCUAUCUAUCAUCUAUCUACUAUCUAUCUAUCUACUAUCUAUCUAUCAUCUAUCUAUCUACUAUCUAUCUAUCAUCUAUCUACUAUCUAUCUAUCUAUUAUCUAUCUAUUAUCUAUCUAUUAUCUAUCUAUUAUCUAUCUAUUAUCUAUCUAUCUAUCUAUCUAUCUAUCAUCUAUCUACUAUCUAUCUAUCAUCUAUCUACUAUCUAUCUAUCAUCUAUCUACUAUCUAUCUAUCUAUCUAUCAUCUAUCUAUCAUCUAUCUAUCUACUAUCUAUCUAUCAUCUAUCUAUCAUCUAUCUACUAUCUAUCUAUUAUCUAUCUAUCUAUCAUCUAUCUAUCUAUCAUCUAUCUAUCAUCUAUCUAUCAUCUAUCUACUAUCUAUCUAUUAUCUAUCUAUUAUCUAUCUAUCUAUCUAUCUAUCAUCUAUCUAUCAUCUAUCUAUCUACUAUCUAUCUAUCAUCUAUCUACUAUCUAUCUAUCAUCUAUCUAUCU